GCCGAAGUGGCGGAAUUGGUAGACGCGCCAGAUUCAGGGUCUGGUCCGGGUUUCCGGGUGGAGGUUCGAGUCCUCUCUUCGGCA
rnacentral:tRNA from 1 species